rnacentral:rRNA from 1 species
ACGUAGGUGGCGAGCGUUGUCCGGAUUUACUGGGCGUAAAGCGCGCGCAGGCUGCUGUUCAAGUCCGAUGUGAAAUCUUCCGGCUUAACUGGAAAACGGCAUUGGAUACUGGACGGCUGGAAGGUGGGAGAGGGUAGCGGAAUUCCCGGUGUAGUGGUGAAAUGCGUAGAUAUCGGGAGGAACACCAGUGGCGAAAGCGGCUACCUGGCCCACUCUUGACGCUGAGGCGCGAAAGCUAGGGGAGCAAACGGG